rnacentral:rRNA from 1 species
AAUAGAUACCCCGGUAGUCCACGCCGUAAACGGUGGGCGCUAGGUGUGGGUUUCCUUCCACGGGAUCCGUGCCGUAGCUAACGCAUUAAGCGCCCCGCCUGGGGAGUACGGCCGCAAGGCUAAAACUCAAAGGAAUUGACGGGGGGCCCGCACAAGCGGCGGAGCAUGUGGAUUAAUUCGAUGCAACGCGAAGAACCUUACCUGGGUUUGACAUAUACCGGAUCGCCUCAGAGAUGGGGUUUCCCUUGUGGUCGGUAUACAGGUGGUGCAUGGCUGUCGUCAGCUCGUGUCGUGAGAUGUUGGGUUAAGUCCCGCAACGAGCGCAACCCUUGUCCUGUGUUGCCAGCAAUUCGGUUGGGGACUCGCAGGAGACUGCCGGGGUCAACUCGGAGGAAGGUGGGGACGACGUCAAGUCAUCAUGCCCCUUAUGUCCAGGGCUUCACACAUGCUACAAUGGCCGGUACAGAGGGCUGCGAUACCGUGAGGUGGAGCGAAUCCCUUAAAGCCGGUCUCAGUUCGGAUCGGGGUCUGCAACUCGACCCCGUG